UACGGAGGGUGCAAGCAUUAAUCGGAUUUAUUGGGCGUAAAGGGCGCGUAGGCGGAAGUGUAAGUCUUGUGUGAAAUCCCCGGGGCUCAACCCCCGGAACAGCACGGGAAACUACACAUCUAGAGGGUAGGCGGAGAAAACGGAAUUCCACAAGUAGCGGUGAAAUGCGUAGAUAUGUGGAAGAACACCGGUGGCGAAGGCGGUUUUCUAGCUUACACCUGACGCUGAGGCGCGAAAGCAAGGGGAUCAAACAGGG
rnacentral:rRNA from 1 species